rnacentral:misc_RNA from 1 species
AAAGAAGCAUCAUCAUGAUACUUUGAAGAAGCCCAAUGUAUGCUUUGAAAACAAUUUCGUACAAUGCCACCAGAUCUGGCGUCUGCUUAAUAAACUUGUUUGUUCGUCCAUGUGUUGUUUGUUUUUUUUGGGUCCAUGCUUCUUUGUUUGUUGUAAUAUCUCUUUGGUUAGUUUCGUUUUGUUAUAGCUUAGUUCUUAGCUUACUAUGUGUUCAUUGUUUUGUCUAUGUGGGGUUGGCCUGCUUUUGGAUUUGCUUAUGAG